GACGAACGCUGGCGGCGGGCUUAACACAUGCAAGUCGAACGAUCCCGCUUGCGGGAUAGUGGCGCACGGGUGAGUAACACGUAGGCAAUCUACCCUCAGGCUGGGGAAUAACUAGGGGAACCCUAGCUAAUACCGCAUAACGUCAUUGCACCGCAUGGUGCGCUGAUCAAAGCUCUGGCGGCUGAGGAUGAGCCUGCGUCGGAUUAGCUAGUUGGCGGGGUAACGGCCCACCAAGGCGACGAUCCGUAGCGGGUCUGAGAGGAUGAUCCGCCACACUGGCACUGAGACACGGGCCAGACUCCUACGGGAGGCAGCAGUGAGGAAUAUUGCGCAAUGGGCGAAAGCCUGACGCAGCCACGCCGCGUGCAGGAAGACACCCCUC
rnacentral:rRNA from 1 species